rnacentral:rRNA from 1 species
GACGAACGCUGGCGGCGUGCUUAACACAUGCAAGUCGAACGGAAAGGCCCUGCUUUUGUGGGGUGCUCGAGUGGCGAACGGGUGAGUAACACGUGAGUAACCUGCCCUUGACUUUGGGAUAACUUCAGGAAACUGGGGCUAAUACCGGAUAGGAGCUCCUGCUGCAUGGUGGGGGUUGGAAAGUUUCGGCGGUUGGGGAUGGACUCGCGGCUUAUCAGCUUGUUGGUGGGGUAGUGGCUUACCAAGGCUUUGACGGGUAGCCGGCCUGAGAGGGUGACCGGCCACGUUGGGACUGAGAUACGGCCCAGACUCCUACGGGAGGCAGCAGUGGGGAAUAUUGCACAAUGGGCGGAAGCCUGAUGCAGCAACGCCGCGUGCGGGAUGACGGCCUUCGGGUUGUAAACCGCUUUCGCCUGUGACGAAGCGUGAGUGACGGUAAUGGGUAAAGAAGCAUCGGCUAACUACGUG